GAUGAACGCUGGCGGCGUGCCUAAUUCAUGCAAGUCGAGCGAACAGACGAGGAGCUUGCCCCUCUGACGUUAGCGGCGGACGGGUGAGUAACACGUGGAUAACCUACCUAUAAGACUGGGAUAACUUCGGGAAACCGGAGCUAAUACCGGAUAAUAUAUUGAACCGCAUGGUUCAAUAGUGAAAGACGGUUUUGCUGUCACUUAUAGAUGGAUCCGCGCCGCAUUAGCUAGUUGGUAAGGUAACGGCUUACCAAGGCAACGAUGCGUAGCCGACCUGAGAGGGUGAUCGGCCACACUGGAACUGAGACACGGUCCAGACUCCUACGGGAGGCAGCAGUAGGGAAUCUUCCGCAAUGGGCGAAAGCUUGACGGAGCAACGCCGCGUGAGUGAUGAAGGUCUUCGGAUCGUAAAACUCUGUUAUUAGGGAAGAACAAAUGUGUAAGUAACUAUGCACGUCUUGACGGUACCUAAUCAGAAAGCCACGGCUAACUACGUG
rnacentral:rRNA from 1 species